AAUAAGAGUAAAUUACAAGUUUUGUCCUUUAUGUUUGUAGCAAAUUGCAGACAAUGUCCUUUGUCUUCAAAAUUGACUGGUUUUGUACUUAAUGUUUCAAAAUCUUACACGUUUUGUCCUUUAAGCCAAACCCAGUUAGAAAUUUCAGUUAUUUUGGAUCCUACAAUUUUAAUCAUUAUUGAAAAAAACACUAAACUUUCGUUGUUUCAGUUUCAGGUAUUUGUGGCCAGUGCGAACUGUUUCUUAUCUUGAAAUAUAUAUGUUGUGACCCGUAUCAGUUUUUUUAUAGUUGUUUCGACAUGCAUGAAGAUGUGGGUUUUACUUUAAAAAAUCCUUCAUUUUUGGGUAAUGACAUACAACGGGUGUGAAAGGAAGUAAAAGAGGAAGCUUUCAAAAGCAUGGACCCUACACUUCUAUGACCCUAACGCGUCUUUCUUUUGCAAGGUAUGAUAACUGAACGUGCCACUUAUUUUUAUGGAUUAUGAUUGUAUUAUAGAGAUAAGAGAGGAGAUAUCAUAGAAGAUGGUAGUGAAACUUUGCUUAUGGUAAACAAGUCACUGUACAGUCAUUUUUUGAACAAAGAGAGGCGUGAAUCUAAAUAGUAGCAUUGCCACAAGAUAAACAGAGGUUACUCGAACACCAUCUUCCACAACUAUGGGUUAUACCCGACAGUCGCAUGAGGAAUGCUAGAAGUUGCUGGAGUCAAAGAGUGAAAGAAUGAAGAGUUAGUGAAGUAUUGGAAAAGAAAGCAAAGCACAGCGCCGUAAGCUACGCCACCAGGCCGUAGCUUACGGCCCCCAUCUCAUGCCAAAAGGAGCCGCCGUAGACAUAUUGAGCUUGGAAAACAUCAUCUUUUUAUCUUAUCUCUAUCUAGUUUUUGUUGGUGAACUUGGUGAACUUGGUAAACAAUAUUUGUUUCUACAUUUUUCAUGAUGAUGUUUGUUAAAGCCAUGUGUGGCUAAAAACUUUAUGGUCAUCCUAGGUGGAAGGUUUGU